rnacentral:misc_RNA from 1 species
GAUGAAGAACGCAGCGAAAUGCGAUAAGUAAUGUGAAUUGCAGAAUUCAGUGAAUCAUCGAAUCUUUGAACGCACAUUGCGCCCGCCAGUAUUCUGGCGGGCAUGCCUGUUCGAGCGUCAUUUCAACCAUCAAGCCCCAGGCUUGUGUUGGGGACCUGCGGCUGCCGCAGGCCCUGAAAACCAGUGGCGGGCUCGCUGUCACACCGGGCGUAGUAGAUUUUAUCUCGCUCAGGGCGUGCUGCGGGUUCCGGCCGUUAAAAAGCCUGUUUUACCCAAGGUUGACCUCGGAUCAGGUAGGAAGACCCGCUGAACUUAAGCAUAUCAAUAAGCGGAGGA